GGGGUAGGGCAGCCUGGUAGCCCGCGGGGCUCAUAACCCCGAGGUCGGUGGUUCAAAACGGGGGCGCCCGCCCA
rnacentral:tRNA from 1 species